rnacentral:tRNA from 1 species
UUUACUUUGGUGUAUGGAGCACAUAAAAUUUUGAUUUUUAUAGAAGAAAUCUAAGUAGUU